CUUGGUGGCUAUGCUGAAGGUGUCCCACCUGAUCCCAUCCCGAACUCAGAAGUGAAAUCCUUCAAGGCCCAUGAUAGUCGGACUUAUCCGGCGAAAGUAGGUAGCCGCCAGAC
rfam:Candidatus Yanofskybacteria bacterium RIFCSPLOWO2_02_FTLL_47_9b rifcsplowo2_02_scaffold_41132, whole genome shotgun sequence.